rnacentral:rRNA from 1 species
GACAGAGGUGCCAAGCGUUAGGCGGAAUCACUGGGCUUAAAGCGUGUGUAGGCGGGUUUGUAAGUACCUUGUGAAAUCCCAUGGCUCAACCAUGGAACUGCUCGGUAUACUGCGAAUCUUGAGCCACUUAGGGGCUACCGGAACAAAUGGUGGAGCGGUGAAAUGCGUAGAUAUCAUUUGGAACGCCAAUGGUGAAAACAGGUAGCUGGGAGUGUGCUGACGCUGAGACACGAAAGCCAGGGGAGCGAACGGG